rnacentral:rRNA from 1 species
UAUCCUACGGGACGCAGCAGUCGGGAAUAUUGCGCAAUGGAGGAAACUCUGACGCAGUGACGCCGCGUAUAGGAAGAAGGUUUUCGGAUUGUAAACUAUUGUCGUGAGGGAAGAAGAUGACAGUACCUCAGGAGGAAGCUCCGGCUAACUAUGUGCCAGCAGCCGCGGUAAUACAUAGGGAGCAAGCGUUAUCCGGAUUUAUUGGGUUUAAAGGGUGCGUAGGCGGAUUUUUAAGUCAGCGGUAAAAUGUCCGGGCUCAACCCGGGCCGGCCGUUGAAACUGGGGAUCUUGAGUGGGCGAGAAGU